rnacentral:misc_RNA from 1 species
CCCUCCCCUAAAUCACUCCAAAAACAAUCCCCAAUUCUACACAAGUGUUUCUACACUAACAAAGCAACAGCUCCUUAACGAAUUCCCAACUUUACAUGAGCCUCUCUCGAGGUUAAAUGUUAUUACUUGGUAAGAUUCCGACCUCGCCAAGUGUUUUGAAAACCCGCAACGCUCGCAAAGGUGGAUAGUGAGAAUAAUAAGUGAAGAGACAGACUUGUCCAAAACGCCCACCACGAAGGUGCAUAGUGAGAAGAGUAAGUCAAGAGAUAGACUUGUCCAAAAAGAAACGGGAAGAGAAAGCUUGGGGAGACGCUCACGAAGGUGCAUAGUGAGAAGAGUAAGUCAAGAGAUAGACUUGUUCAAAAAGAAACGAGAAGAGAAUGCUUGGGGUUACACUCACGAAGGUGCAUAGUGAGAAGAGUAAGUCAAGAGACAGACUUGUUCAAAAAGAAACAAAAGAGAAUGCUUGGGAGAUAGAAGUGUGAGAUAGUUCUCAAGCUAAGAAAGUUGUAAAAGCUAAGAACUAGGUGAGUGGUCCGAGGAUUUGUCGACCAGGAGUUGAAAUCGGCGACUCGGACCGAGAAUUCGUCGACCAGAUCGGGCGGAAUGCUCGACCAGGACGAUGAAUGGGCGAUGAAAAUCUAUCGGGUUAGAGGAAUGGUCGACCAGAAGUUGGAAUCGUCGACCGGGUCCGAGGAAUUCGUCGACCAGGACGAGGAGUGGCUCGAGGAUUUGUCGAC